GCAAGGGGCUGAAUGAGAUUAGCCUCUUACCUCAUCCCCUCUUUGUGUGUGUGUAGGAAGUCAACUGUUAACUUCAUAUCGUGGAAUCUACCUUUAGAAUAGUAUUUCCUACUCCCAACACCUUUUUUGUGACACAUUUCUACCCCUUCUCCAGGUGGUGAGUGAGGACGAGCACAGCCAGAACCAGGGGGGUAACCAGAGCCCCAACACAGGUUCCGUCCAGAGCUCUCCCAGACGGGUGCGCUCAGAGACCAUGUUCCUAGACCGGGCAGCCCCCCUGCUCCGGAGAAUGAGACACAGCCAGAGCCUGGCCUUUGAGAAGAGACUGGCCCCCGAACCCAAGCCCACCAUCGAACGCUUCCUUGAGGCCUAUCUGGGGAAGCAGCGUCCUCAGGAGCGAGAGAAGACCAUCCCAGAGAACGGCGGUGGACAAGGGGAGCAGGUUGGCACCCCCUGUGAUGAUGACCAGGCGACAGGGACCCCCGACCAGGAGGAGGGGGCUGGGGCCAGCAGUGGAGGGUUUGUGGCCCUCAACCUUAGCACUGUACCCCAGGAGGGAGACUCCCAGGAGUGGGUGAUGCUGGAGCUGGAACAGGGGGGAGGCAGCGGGGCCUCGGGGGCAGCCAAGCCUCCAGGAGGUGACGCUCUGGAUGGGGAUAAACCAGGGACCCAAGCAGAGGCCCAGGACCAACAGCCUCCCUCAGGCCCAAUCAGUCCCGUCCAGUCCCACAUGGCCCUGCCCUGUACCUGGUUACUGGGCGGCAAGAGGCUGCCUGGGAUGCUAGGCCACUUGGGCCGAGCUCAGAUGGAGCAGUCUCCCAACCCCGUACCGCAGUCCCCCGUGACAGAGAAGAGUGAAGCCAUACCGUUAGAGGCCCCGUUCACCAGACCCACCGACCCCCAAGAGGGCAAGGUUGGUGAGACGGUCCAGUCAGCCCCCAGCCCUGUGCCAAGCCUCAUCCCAGCCCACCUCGCCAACGAUAAAGACCCAGAGAGCGACUCUGGCCUCCCCGACCGUUCCUCUGAACCCAACCAGCGCCCCCAGGUUGAGAAAGCUAGAGGCACCGCAGAGAAUGCCGUCACUGUCUCCUCCUCACCCCCUCCGGUCCUCCUGCAAAGGGACUCCCCCUCCCUGUCCAGACUGAGCCGCAUCCCUGUACGAGACCCAACUACUGCCCCGGAUUCCCCCACCCCCCUCACCACGGAUCGCCGUCACCGCUGGAGCAGCCCUGUGCCUGGCUCGCCCUCCCACUCGCCCUCGCCAUCCCUCUCCUGCGACAACCUGCUACCCUGUGGUGUCCGAGAGCGUCUCCUGUCCUGCUCGGACCGCGGCUCACGCUCCGACUGGCUUGGGGAGGACCGUGACCCCCUCUCCCUCUCGCUCUCCUCCUCGGGCAGCAGGAGUAAGAUCCCGCGUCCCGUUAACUCCCCUCUUCUGGGGCCCGAGCAGCAUCAGCAGCUCUCCUCCCCUGGCAGGUACCUGCCUCGCCCGCCUCCCGGGAAACCGCCCACCCGCCCGGCUGUAGACAACAGUAGGCACCGGCGGUUCCGGGUGCGAGCCAGCAGCACCAGCGAUGCUGACUUCCUGGCCAGCCUGACCCAGCUGAUGAAGGACCGCAGCGGUGCACUUUUCAGUCCACCGCCGCGCCCCCGUAGCUCCUCCUCCUUGCUGCAGCGCUCACUCAGCUCCUCCCCCUCCCGUCAUGAGCUCCGCGAGGGGGGUGGGGUCUUCGUGGAGCGCAGCUGCUCUCCGUCCAGCUUCUCGGGGUCCCCUCCCCCUCCACGGUACCCCCAGGACAGGCUCAGCGGGCAGCAGGGAAUACCGUGGGGUGCAGGGCCCGGUGCCCGAGGAAGGGUCUCCAGCCACGAGGGCAAAGGCAGUGGCAAAGUGAGCCGAUAAGUGGACAGAAUUGGCAACAGGUUGUGCAGAAGGAGGAUGAUUGUUGUCCUGGAGGCAGAGCUCAGCGAUUUCCACUAGAUAGGCCGGCUGCAAAGUCAAAAUUGACUAUAUAUCGUAACAAUUAGGUCUUCAUAGGGUUAGGUUUAAAAUUAUAUUUUUGUACUUUGUGGCUGUGUCAGCUAGUGUCCAACGUGCAGAGUUGCCUCCAGUACAUGAGUAAUCCCAAUAAAUGCCAACCUGCUGUUCAGAAGGGCACACUGUAGUAAAACGUUUUGCUCCGAUUAACAGACACGUUCAGGAUGUACCUCUCCGUUUCACUGAGAUUUAAAACGUUUCCUCCCCACUGCACGUGACCCAGGCGGCAAUGGUGACUAAGACUUUAAUAAUGUAUGUACAGAGAAUAUACUGUAUCUGGUCUUUGAUAGCAUGUGUAAAUAUCUAUUAUCUACUACUGUACUCCAGGGAAUGUACUGUAUGUAUUGUAAAAUGUAUGAUAGAAUGUGUCUAUUUAUUUGUUGGAUGCGUCUCGAACUGAAAGUACUUGACAAAUGUAGCUCGGUUCUGCAGUCGAAACGAAGAAAAGGUUUCCUAAAAAACCUUGAAUGCCAACUCUUCUCUCCCCGACCCUAGUCCUGUGCUCUUAACACUAUGUAUGUGUGUAUGCAAUGAGACCAAAAAGAUCUGUAUUGUAUCAUAUUUGAGGAAUGGAAAGGAGGUCUCCUAGUGUGUAUAUAUGGACCAUUUUACCCUAGUAUAGAGAGCACUUUAAUGCUGUUCAAUCAAACUACGUUUUCCUCUUAUUGCACCAACACAUCAGCCUUCAUUUGUGAGGACCAGGGUAUGUAAACUUCAUUCCUCCUUCCCUUUAGAAACCACUACAGUAGAUGAAACAAAUUGUAAUUCGAGCUAUUUAAAGUGUCACUCACUCUGGCAUAUUUACAAUGUAUUUGUAUGCUUUUGUUGUGAGAAAAUCUCUUCGGUCAUGCAGAGGUGUCACAAUGUUGGAAUGUAACGAAAAAUUACAACUCAUACUGAAUUAAUGUAAAAAGUGCAUGGAUAUCAUUGCAAAUAUAUUAUUUUUCUUAAUCAUUUGUACAGUGUCCGCUUUAAAAAAAAAACUAUUUUUUAAUAAACUGGUCCCGAUCAAAUAUAUUUAUGAUGCAGACCAGCAAAAUAAGAGUAUUUUUAUUUCCCCACUGCAGAAUAAUUUAUCAUAAUUUCAGGAUUGCAGAAAAUCAAAUCGGGUGUACAUACGGCAUUUAGUGAAACAAAAAUAUAAAGGUAACAUGCCACAAUUUCAAAGAUUUUACUGAGUUACAGUUCAUAUAAGGAAAUCAGUCCAUUGAAAUAAAUGCAUUAGGC
ensembl:lncRNA